GAUGAACGCUGGCGGCGUGCCUAAUACAUGCAAGUCGAGCGAACGGACGAGAAGCUUGCUUCUCUGAUGUUAGCGGCGGACGGGUGAGUAACACGUGGAUAACCUACCUAUAAGACUGGGAUAACUUCGGGAAACCGGCGCUAAUCCCGGAUGAUAUUUUGAACCGCAUGGUUCAAAAGUGAAAGACGGUCUUGCUGUCACUUAUAGAUGGAUCCGCGCUGCAUUAGCUAGUUGGUACGGUAACGGCUUACCAAGGCAACGAUGCAUAGCCGACCGGAGAGACGGAUCGCCCACACGGGAACGUGGACACGGUCCAUACGCCUACGGUAGGCAGCAGUAGGGAACCUGCCGCAAUGGUCGAAAGCCUUACGGAGCAACGCCGCGUGAGUGAUGAAGGUCUUCGGAUCGUAAAACUCUGUUAUGAGGGAAGAACAUAUGUGUAAGGAACUGUGCACAUCUUGACGGUACCGAGUCAGAAAGCCACGGCUAACUACGUG
rnacentral:rRNA from 1 species